AUUGAAUGCUGGCGGCAGGCCUAACACAUGCAAGUCGAGCGGAGCGGCGGACGGGUGCGUAAUGCCUAGGAAUCUGCCUGGUAGUGGGGGAUAACGUCCGGAAACGGGCGCUAACACCGCAUACUAUCAGAUGAGCCUAUGUCGGAUUAGCCAGUUGGUGGGGUAAAGGCAUACCAAGGCGACGAUCCGUAACUGGUCUUAGAGGAUGAUCAGUCACAGUGGAACUGAGAUACGGUCCAGACUCCUACGGGAGGCAGCAGUGGGGAAUAUUGGACAAUGGGCGAAAGCCUGAUCCAGCCAUGCCGCGUGUGUGAAGAAGGUCUUCGGAGUGUAAAGGGCUUUAAGUUGGGAGGCGUUACCAACAGAAUACGCACCGGCUAACGUCGUGCCAGCAGCCGCGGUAAUUC
rnacentral:rRNA from 1 species